rnacentral:rRNA from 1 species
GUCGAACGGAGUGCUUGCAUCUGAUUCUUUCGGGAUGAAGAUGCAAGUAUCUCAGUGGCGAACGGGUGAGUAACGCGUGAGAAACCUGCCUUUCACAAAGGGAUAGCCUCGGGAAACUGGGAUUAAUACCAUAUAAAGUUCCAAAUUAGCAUUAAAAAGGAACCAAAGUGUAAGCGGUGAAAGAUGGUCUCGCGUCCCAUUAGCUAGUUGGUGAGAUAAAAGCUCACCAAGGCGACGAUGGGUAGCCGGCCUGAGAGGGUGACCGGCCACACUGGAACUGAGACACGGUCCAGACUCCUACGGGAGGCAGCAGUGGGGAAUAUUGCACAAUGGAGGGAACUCUGAUGCAGCGACGCCGCGUGAGCGAAGAAGGCUUUCGAGUCGUAAAGCUCUGUCCUAGGGGACGAUAAUGACGGUACCCAAGGAGGAAGCCCCGGCUAACUACGUGCCAGCAGCCGCGGUAAUACGUAGGGGGCGAGCGUUGUCCGGAAUUAUUGGGCGUAAAGGGUUCGCAGGCGGCCUAUUAAGUCAGAUGUGAAAUCCCAUGGCUUAACCAUGGUAAGCAUUUGAAACUGGAAGGCUUGAGUUAAGGAGAGGAAAGUGGAAUUCCUAGUGUAGCGGUGGAAUGCGUAGAUAUUAGGAGGAAUACCAGUGGCGAAGGCGACUUUCUGGACUUUAACUGACGCUGAGGAACGAAAGCGUGGGUAGCAAACAGGAUUAGAUACCCUGGUAGUCCACGCCGUAAACGAUGAGUGCUAGGUGUUGGGGGUCAAACCUCGGUGCCGCAGCUAACGCAUUAAGCACUCCGCCUGGGGAGUACGUACGCAAGUAUGAAACUCAAAGGAAUUGACGGGGACCCGCACAAGCAGCGGAGCAUGUGGUUUAAUUCGAAGCAACGCGAAGAACCUUACCAGGGCUUGACAUGCCUCUGGUCGUUCUAGAGAUAGAGCUUUCCCUUCGGGGACAGAGGACACAGGUGGUGCAUGGUUGUCGUCAGCUCGUGUCGUGAGAUGUUGGGUUAAGUCCCGCAACGAGCGCAACCCUUGUCUUUAGUUGCAAACAGUUAAAGCUGAGCACUCUAGAGAGACUGCCGAUGAUAAAUCGGAGGAAGGUGGGGAUGACGUCAAAUCAUCAUGCCCUUUAUGUCCUGGGCUACACACGUGCUACAAUGGUCGGUACAACGAGAAGCGACCUAGCGAUAGGAAGCAAAUCUUAAAAAGCCGAUCCCAGUUCGGAUUGCAGGCUGCAACUCGCCUGCAUGAAGUCGGAGUUGCUAGUAAUCGCGAAUCAGAAUGUCGCGGUGAAUGCGUUCCCGGGUCUUGUACACACCGCCCGUCACACCAUGGGAGUUGGAAAUGCCCGAAGCCAGUGAGCUAACCGUAAGGAAGCAGCU